rnacentral:rRNA from 1 species
GCUCAGAUUGAACGCUGGCGGCAUGGCUAAAACAUGCAAGUCGAACGAGAAGCAGGCUUCGGCCUGUGGACAGUGGCGAAAGGGCGAGGAAUACGUUUCUAACGUGCCCCGAGGUUAGGGAUAGCCCAGGGAAACCUGGAUUAAUACCUGAUGAUCCCGCGAUGUCGUAUGUCAUUGCGGGCAAAGAUUUAUUGCCUUGGGAUCGGGAAACGUCCUAUCAGCUUGUUGGUGAGGUAAAGGCUCACCAAGGCUAAGACGGGUAGCGGGUGUGAGAGCACGACCCGCCGCAUCGGGACUGAGACACUGCCCGGACUCCUACGGGAGGCUGCAGUAACGAAUAUUCCGCAAUGCGCGAAAGCGUGACGGAGCAAUGCCGCGUGAAGGAUGAAGCACCUCGGUGUGUAAACUUCUGUCAGGGUUUAGGAAACAAAUGACCAUACCCAAAGGAAGAGCCGGCUAACUCUGUGCCAGCAGCCGCGGUAAUACAGAGGGCUCAAGCGUUAAUCGGAAUCACUGGGCUUAAAGGGUGCGCAGGCGGACUCGUCAGUGUCUUGUGAAAUCCCACGGCUCAACCGUGGAACUGCAGGGCAUACUGCGAGUCUUGAACCCGACAGGGGCAACCGGAACUCUAGGUGGAGCGGUGAAAUGCGUAGAUAUCUAGAGGAACGCCAAAGGCGAAGGCAGGUUGCUGGGUCGGUGUUGACGCUCAGGCACGAAAGCGUGGGUAGCGAACGGGAUUAGAUACCCCGGUAGUCCAC